GUAGUAUUUAAAAUUUAUUAAAAAUAAGGUGCCAAACUCACCUUAACACCCUGUAUAUCAUAAUGUCUGUUAACAAAGCUUCUUAAAGACUAAAAAGAAAAAUACACACAAAAUGCAUUCUCAUGAUUAAAAUAAUUGAAAUAUUUUUGUAAAAAUUUAAAGAUAAAAAUUAUACAGUCUAAGUAGCUAUUAAAAAUGUACCAAAAAAAAUAGCUAUUUAAAAUUUCCCAUCUUCACUACAUAUGUUUCAAAAUUAUUGUUCUUUCAUUUCCCUUCUUCAAAUUGCCGAUUCCAUUUUCAUGAAUUUCUUACAGUCACUUCUUCCAUCUUCAGUCCGAGAGAAAGGUAUGUGUUGAUUCUCACAUUUUCCUUUUCUUCCUCAUCUCUCACAAACCUCGAUACCUUUAAUUGUAGUUAAUCAAUUCCCAAACAUUUCAUUGAUGUCACUUCAGAGGUUCAAUUAUUAUCUACUGGCAAAACUUUUACCUUCCAAUUUUCGUGAUAACCAUUUCCCCUCUAUUGCUUUGACCCUUUUUUCUGCAACAAAUUCUGUUCUUUCCGCUUCUUAUUCAACCGCUGGUCUCAGAUAUCAAAGUGAGGGCAAACGCAGUGACUUUAGGAAUUCCAGCGGUGAUUUGGGGAAAGCGGGUUCUGAUUUUCAGGAAAGCUUAAGUUUUGUUGCGAGUGUUUGUGAUGGGGCAGAAGAAGAAGAGAGUGAAGAAGAUAAUGAAGAAGGAGAGGGGUCUAGUGAUGAUGAUAGUCUUGAGUUUAUUACUUCCUUUCGUGGUAGCAACCACCAACAGAGAGAAACUAUUGCAAUAGUUGAAAUUGGUGAGGUUGAAUUUAGGCACCCCUUGGUGAGGGAAGUUUGUAGGUUAAUCACACUUAGGUCUGCUUGGAACCCUGAUUUGGAAGGACAUUUGAGGCACUUGUUGAGAAGCCUCAAGCCACCACUUGUGUGUGCUGUUUUGCGCUCUCAGACCGAUGAACGUGUUGCUUUGAAUUAUUUUUAUUGGGCUGAUAGGCAGUGGCGCUACAGACAUGACACUGUUGUGUACUAUACAAUGCUGUAUGUUCUUAGCAAGACCAAAUUGUGCCAAGGUGCAAGGAGGGUUCUUCGGCUAAUGACUCGCCGCGGAAUUGAAUGCUCACCCGAAGCAUUUGGCUAUGUGAUGGUGUCUUAUAGUCGUGCAGGCAAGUUGAGGAAUGCAUUGCGAGUUUUGACAUUGAUGCAGAAAGCUGGGGUUGAACCUGAUUUAUCUAUAUGUAACACUACUAUCUAUGUUCUGGUGAAGGGCAAUAAAUUGGAGAAGGCGCUGAGGUUCUUGGAACGAAUGCAGAUGACUGGAAUCAAACCCAAUGUUGUAACUUACAACAGCUUAAUCAAGGGUUACUGUGAUAUAAAUCGGAUUGAAGAUGCAUUGGAGCUUAUUGCAGAAAUGCCAUCCAAGGGUUGUCGUCCGGAUAAAGUUAGUUAUUAUACUGUGAUGGUUUUUCUCUGUAAGGAGCGAAAAAUUGAUCAAGUGAAGCAUUUAAUGGAGAAGAUGGUUCAAGAUAGUAACUUGAUACCAGAUCAGGUUACAUAUAAUACGCUUAUCCACGUGCUUUCAAAGCAUGGGCAUGCAGAUGAUGCUCUUGCUUUCUUAAAGGAAGCAGAAGAGAAGGGUUUCCACGUGGAUAAGAUUGGGUAUAGUGCAAUAGUUCACUCGUUCUGUCAAAAGGGAAGGAUGGCUGAGGCAAAAAGUUUAGUGAUUGAUAUGCAUUCAAGAGGAUGUAAUCCGGAUGUAGUGACAUAUACUGCAAUUAUUAAUGGAUUUUGUCGCUUGGGAAGGAUAGAUGAAGCAAAAAAAAUGCUGCAGCAGAUGAACAAACAUGGGUGCAAACCAAAUACGGUAUCAUAUACAGCUUUGUUGAAUGGCCUCUGUCAUAGUGGAAAAUCAUUAGAGGCAAGAGAGAUGAUAAGUGUAAGUGAGGAGCAUUGGUGGACCCCAAAUGCCAUCACUUAUGGUGCCGUGAUGCAUGGGCUUCGUAGGGAGGGAAAAUUGUCCGAGGCCUGUGAUUUGACCAGGGAAAUGGUUGAAAAAGGGUUUUUCCCUACUCCAGUUGAAAUUAACCUGUUAAUACAGUCACUCUGCCGAAAUCAGGAAGUAGUAGAAGCUAAAAAAUAUUUAGAGGAAUGUCUGAAUAAGGGAUGUGCCAUUAAUGUCGUGAACUUCACUACUGUAAUUCAUGGUUUUUGUCAGAUCGGUGACAUGGAAGGUGCACUAUCUAUGCUAGAUGACAUGUACUUAAGUAACAAACAUCCUGAUGCCAUCACAUAUACGACAUUGUUUGAUGCAUUGGGGAAGAAAGGUAGACUGGAUGAGGCAGCUGAGUUGAUUGUAAAGAUGCUCAGCAAAGGUUUGGAUCCAACUCCUGUAACAUACAGAUCAGUUAUACACCGUUAUUGUCAAUGGGGUAGAGUAGAUGAUAUGUUGAACUUACUGGAAAAAAUGCUCGUUAGGCAGCCAUUUCAAACCGUAUACAAUCAGGUUAUUGAAAAGCUUUGUGAUUUUGGGAACCUUGAGGAGGCUGAGAAACUACUGGGGAAGGUAUUGAGAACAGCAUCAAAACUUGAUGCUAAUACAUGCCAUGUUCUGAUGGAAAGCUAUCUAAAGAAAGGGUUUGCUCUAUCAGCUUAUAAAGUGGCUUCUCAAAUGUUUAGACGUAAUUUGAUUCCUGAUUUAAAAUUGUGCCAGAAAGUGAGGAAGAAGCUGGUGUUAGAUGGUAAGUUGGCGGAGGCUGAUAACCUUAUGUUACGAUUUGUUGAGCGUGGAAUACAACAAAAAUGAGAUGCAUUUGUGAGGUUAGCAGCUAUUUAAAGCUAAGUCUCAUAGCAAUGGUUUUGUUUUAAAUUUCCUUUAUCAUUUCCAUUUGUUGGUAUUCCAUCUUGUAGCCUUCCAUGUGGCUAGGCAAUUUUGACGCAACAAUGAUUUUGUUUUGAGAAUGUAUUUCACCCAUAUAACUAUCAUUAUGUGAUUUAGAUGAUUUUAUAAAUUUUUUAGUUCAGCCACAUCGCUUUACAUUCUCUGGUGAUAAUGAUAAGCAUUGAAUACCACUCACAAGAGCACACUUCCAGUUUUAUCCUAUGGUUACAGAAAUUCAUAGGUUAAGGGUCUUCGUGGAUUUCUACCCCUGUUGGUUCAGUUAGUCACCACGUAGCUCUACAUGUCAGUGCCUUUAACGCCUAUAUAGGAUGGAUGCACACGCAAUAACACUAACUUAACUCACAAAUUCAUUGUCGAUGACUCAAUUUCCAGUUGAAAAUACCAAAGGAAAAAGUUGUUCAAAGAUUUGUAGCUCAAGACGAGGAGAGAGGUAUUACAAGAUAUAAUAGCAUGAGGCAAUCAAAAUUCGAGCACGGAAAAGACAUCUACAGGUAAAAUUCGACGUAGAAAUGAGAAGAAUUGAGGUACUUGGCUUAGUACAUAUUCAUUGGAAAGGAAUUUCUUACAUAGUUUAAGAAAAUGUUAAGAUUAAUGUCUGCUUGAAUA